rnacentral:lncRNA from 1 species
GACGGAGGAGGAGGAGGAGGAGGAGGGGGGAGCUGGCUGCUGGAAUGAUGCGUUUUCCUUUUUCCUGACAAGUUUCCCCGCGCUGUUCGGUGUGUCCGUCGUGUCCGCCGGGGUCGACUUUGCGCGUUUCUGCGCGGAGGCGCACGGAGCCUCGCCGCAGAAGUUGCUUGGGCACAAUACUGAGCGGUGACAGUGCGGCGAAGCGCGCGCGACGGGGAGAAGAGGGCACGGAGCGGCGCUGAGCUGCGUGUUGAGCGGCUGGAUUUACACCCGAGCAUCAUCAACAUCCCCGUGCCACGACGGGACCGAGGCUGCGGGAGGCGACACACUUCCAGGUUGUUUGCAGAAGCCCCGCGAGAGAAUUCCAGCUGCGUAAACUUGGCCAAAAUCGGGUGACAUUGCAGCCUCUGUGCGUGUGUGUGUGUGUGUCUCUCUCUCUGUUUGUGUGUGUGUGUGUGUGUGUGUGUCUCUCUCUCUGUUUGUGUGUGUGUGUGUGUGUGUGUGUGUGUGCGCGCGCCGGGCAGCCUGGAUGGAUAUGCGGCUCACCGAGGGAAUCUGAACAGCAAAAAAAAAAAAAAGGGGGAUUACUAUCAGCCCCUCUCCUAUUAUAACCUCAAAAUGGAUGCCGACAACAGGCUGUGGAGACACCACUGGAUUAGCGACCCCUGUGCUCGUCUGCUCGACUUCUGAGGGGCUCGGGCGUUCAAAGUUUCGGAUAGAUCGUCAAAGGCUGAAGGCGCAGCAUGCAGUCCGGAGCGAAGUCGCUCUCCGCAGGUGGCGGUGCGUCCCUCUGCUGCCUGCUGCUCCUCUGGCUCAUCUACUCCCAUCUGCUCAGAGAAGUAUGUUGUGCAGGGUCAGCCGGCGUAAUUCAUCUGGUUUAAUAGCCUCAUCAUGCCCACCAGUUCUGAGUCCUGCAGUGACGCACAUUAAAUCAGGGGAACAUUGUGAACUGUGGACUGCUGACAGCCUAUUCCAGGCAGAGAUAUUAAGAUAUUUGUGCUCCUGUGCUUUGGUGAUCCGCAGUGUGUCUGAUCGAAGCGCUGAUAUGUACAGCCCAGACACAUCGUUGCUCU